UGCCUGAUCAGAGUACACAGGAACUGACUGGGAGACUGGCUAGGCACAGAGCUACAGUUGCCUGGCAGAGGGACACCCAGCCUGGCAGUGUGAGAAACUGAUUCAGGAGUGUGAUUGAAUUCUGGAGACGGUCAGGUCUGGAUCUACCUGGGCCAGAGUCCACCAUCUGGUUGCUUAAAUUCGGAUGAGGUCCAACCUGGGGAGAGCUGAAGGGUCUCUGGUCUGACCCUGGGGAACAUCAGUCUGCCACCUGUGCACCUGGAACCCACAGGCCUAGCUGGCCCAAGCAUGAGUGAACAGGAGGACACAGAGGAAGAUGAGGGAGGGGGCUCCUUGGACACGACACCCAUGCUGCCCCGAAGGCCUCAAGAUCACCAGGCCUCUGCUGUGACACGCCCAGGAUGGCCAGGCCUGAUUGCUCUAGGCAUGGGGCCCCUGCUGCUGCCUGGCCGGGCCCUGGCCAGGCUCCUGCUACACUUGCUCCUGCCAAUGACUGUGUACCUGCUGCUCCUGCUUCCUGCUGCAGGCAUCGUCUACCUGGGAUUCCUGUGCCACUCCAGGGUCCACCCGGCCCCCGGCCCCCGCUGCCGCGCGCUGCUUUCGGACCACGGCUCCGCUGCGCUCAUCGUGCUCGGCUUCCUCUCGCUGCCGCCGCUGCUGGUGCUCGCCUCGGCCGCGCGCGCCCGCCUGGCCCGCCACCUCCGCCAGCUGCUGCCGCCCCCAACUCGGACCCCCGCAUUCCGCUGCCGCCCGGGGUCCAGCGAGCCGGAGCUGGAUGGCCGCCUCCCCGCUGGGGAGGAGCAGCUCUGCGCCUGGGUGUGACCCCCGAGGCUUCUUCAAGGGACCCCCAAGGCCUCCCAAUGCCCCUCCUCGGACCUCCAUUAUGUGGCCCAGGCCGGGCAGCGUCCGCGUCCGGGGUGGGCCGGACAGUCUGCGCCUACUUCGUGGCCAGGAGCGCAGGGUCCAUACCUUCCAUGGGUUCUGGAAAACGUUCGAUUGUCUCUUCAAUUUUUCCUAAAUGCUUCACUGUACUCUUUCACUCCAUCAAUAAUCUCUGCUUGCAUUUUCUGUCUCCUUGUCUUUCUGUGCCAGAUUCUGGGACAUCUCUUCAUCUUCCCCUUCCAACUCACUAAUCUGUGUCUAAUCUGCUGAUUGAUGCAUCCAAUUAAAUUUAAGACAUUACAUUAAUAUAUCCAAAAUUAUAUUUGGCUCUGUAAUCUUAGCACUUUGGGAGGCCAAGGUGUGAUGCUUACUUGAGACUAGGAGUUUGAGACCCCAUUUCUAAAUAAAAGAGUGAAUACAGGGCAGCACCUGUGGCUCAGUGAGUAGGGCACCGGCCCCAUAUACCAAGGGUGGCGGGUUCAAACUCAGCCCCAGCCAAACUGCAACAACAAAAAAAUAGCUGGGCAUUGUGGCGGGUGCCUGUAGUCCAGCUGCUUGGGAGGCUGAGGCAGGAGAAUCACGUAAGCCCAAGAGCUGGAGGUUGCUGUGAGUCCUGUGACGUCAUGGCACUCUACCCAGGGCGGUAUAGUGAGACUCUGUCUCUACAAAAAAAAAAAAAGAGAGAGACCCCAUUUCUAAAUAAAAGAGUGAAUACAGGGCAGUGCCUGUGGCUCAAUGGGUAGGGCACUGGCCCCAUAUACCGAGGAUGUUGGGUUCAAACCCAGCCCCAGCUAAACUGCAACAAAAAAUUAGCUGGGUGUUCUGCUGGGCGCCUGUAGUCCCAGCUACUCUGGAGGCUGAGCAAGAGAAUCACCUAAGGGCAGCGCCUGUGGCUCAGUGGGUAGGGCCCUGGCCCCAUAUAUCGAGGGUAGCAGGUUCAAUCCCGGCCCUGGCCAAACUGCAACAAAGAAUAAGCCAGGCAUUAUGGCAGGUGCCUGUAGUCCCAGCUACUCAGGAAGCUGAGGCAAGAGAAUCACCUAAGCCCAGGAGUUGGAGGUUGCUGUGAACUGUGAUGCAAUGGUACUCUACCAAGGACAAUAAAAUGAGACUCUGUCUCAAAAAAAAAAAAGGAAUACAUAAAUAGAAAAUUUAGUUGGGGAUGACAGCACUUGCCUGUAGUCCCAGCUACUCAGGAGGCUGAAGCAGGAGGAUCACUUGAAUCCAGGAGUUUGAGGCUCCAGGAGAAUCCAGUGUGUGGUUGGGUUAGCACUGUACUCCAGCCUGGGUGACAGAGUGAGACUCUGUCUCAAAAAGUAAGUAAAUAUAAUCCUAGCACUCCGGGAGGCCAAGGUGGGUGGAUUGCUUGAGUUCUUCAAAACCAGCCUAAGCAGGAGCAAGACCCCAUCUCUAAAAAAUAGCUGAGUGUUGUGGCAGACACCUGUAGUCCCAGCUAAUUAGGAGGCUGAAGCCCAAGAAUUUGAGGCUGCUGUGAGAUAUGAUGCCAUGGCACUCUUCCCAAGGCAACAAAGUGAGACUCUGUCUCAAAAAAAAAAAAAAAAGAAAAGAAAAAGAAAAAAGGGCGGCACUUGUAAUUCAGUGGAUAGUGUGCAGGCCACAUACACCCAAGCUCGUGGGUUUGAACCUGGCCUGGGCCAGCUAAACAGUAAUGACCACUGCCACAACAAUAAAAAAAUAGCCGGGUGUUGUGGCAGGUGUCUGUAGUCCCAGCUACUUGGAAGGCUGAGGCAAGAGAAUCGCUUAAGCCCAAGAGUUUGAGGUUGCUGUGAGCUGUGAUGCCAUGGCACCCUACCGAGGGUGACAUAAUGAGACUCUGUCUCAAAAAAAAGUAAAUUGGUUUGUCGCCUGUGGCUCAAGCAGCUAGGGUGCCAGCCACAUGCACCUAAGCUGGCGAGUUCAAAUCUGGCCCGGACCGGCCAAACAACAAUGACCGUUGCAACCAAAAAAAAGCCAGGUACUGUGGCAGGCACCCGUAGUCCCAGCUACUUGGGAGGCAGAGGCAGGAGAAUCACUUGAGCCCAGGAGUUGGAGGUUGCUGUGAGCUGUGAUGCCAUGGCACUCAUGUCACCCAGGGCGACAGCUUGAGGCUCUGUCUCAGAAAAAAAAAAAAGUAAAUAAAUAAAACUUAUAUUUUUUUCCUCAGAUUUUUUUUGAUUUGUUUGAGACAGAGUUUCACUUUGUCACCCUCGGUAGGGUGCUGUGGCAUCUUAGCUCACAGCAACCUCCACCUCUUGGGCUCAAGUGAUCCUCUUGCCUCAGCCUCCCAAGUAGCUGGAACUACAGGCGCCUGCCAAUGCCCAGCUAUUUUUAGAGACGGGUUCUCACUCUAGCUCAGGCUGGUCUUGAACCUUGUGAGCUCAGGCAAUCCACCCAUCUCAGCCUCCCAGGGUGCUUGGAUUACAGUUGUUAGCCGCACCCGGCUGUUUGGCAACUUUUUAUUGUCAGCUUGUAUCUGUGACAAUUCUGAGGUCAUAAGAUAGAGACCUUCCCUCCAGAGAUGACCCCGUUUUCAUGGCACAACCAGCCUGGGCCCCUGAAGGGCACAGAGGCUCCUGGUUUGUGCCCCCCAUGCAAAGCUCCCCCCAUGCCCCAUCUCAGGCUGGCUAUCCAACCCUGUAUAUGUCCAGGGAAUACCUGGAUCUCUUUUCACUAUUCUCUUUGCUUAUUCACUCGUUUCUGAUGUUUAAUUUGGGGGGCCUUGGAGAUACUAACUUUUUCAAGCCCAGCAGCCUAUUAAAAAUGUAUCUUUAGGCCAGGAGCGGUUGCUCAUGCCUGUAAUCUUAGCAUUCUGGGAGGCUGAAGCAGGUGGAUUGCUUGAGCUCAUAGGUUCAAGACCAGACUGAGAAAAGAGCAAGACCCCUGUCUCUAAAAAUAGCUGAAUGGGCUGGGCACCCAUAGCUCAGUGGUUAGGGUGCUGGCUACAUGCUCUGGGGCUGGUGAGUUCAAACCCGGCCCUGGCCUGCUAAAUAAAAAAAUAUUAAAAAAUAAAAUAGGACAGUGCCCGUGGCUCAUUGAGUAGGGUGCCAGCCCCAUAAAUGGAGGGUGGCAGGUUUGAACACAGCCCCAGCCAAACUGCAACAAAAAAAUAGCCAGGCAUUGUGGUGGGCACCUGUAGUCCCAGCUACUCGGGAAGUUGAGGCAAGAGAAUUACCUAAGCCCUUGGCUGGAAGUUGCUGUGAGCUGUGAAGCCUAGGCACUCUACCAAGGGUGACAAAGUGAGACUCUGACUCUAAAAAAAAAAAAAAAAAUAGCUGGGCAUAGCGGCAGAUGCUUGCAG